UACGGAGGGUGCGAGCGUUGUUCGGAAUUAUUGGGCGUAAAGCGCGCGCAGGCGGCCUUUUAAGUCUGAUGUGAAAUCUUGCGGCUCAACCGCAAGCGGCCAUUGGAAACUGGGAGGCUUGAGUACAGAAGAGGAGAGUGGAAUUCCACGUGUAGCGGUGAAAUGCGUAGAUAUGUGGAGGAACACCAGUGGCGAAGGCGACUCUCUGGUCUGUAACUGACGCUGAGGCGCGAAAGCGUGGGGAGCAAACAGG
rnacentral:rRNA from 1 species